AGCUGACACAGUUCUUUUAGAAAAUUUUCUAGGAGGUUUUCUGAUUUUUGAAUGGAAAACCUGA